GAGUUUGAUCGUGGCUCAGAUUGAACGCUGGCGGAAUGCUUUACACAUGCAAGUCGAGCGGCAGCGCGGGGCAACCUGGCGGCGAGCGGCGAACGGGUGAGUAAUGCAUCGGAACAUGUCCAUGUCGUGGGGGAUAGCCCGGCGAAAGCCGGAUUAAUACCGCAUACGCCCGAGAGGGGAAAGUGGGGGACCGCAAGGCCUCACGCGAUUGGGUUGGCCGAUGUCCGAUUAGCUAGUUGGCGGGGUAAGAGCCCACCAAGGCGAUGAUCGGUAGCUGGUCUGAGAGGAUGAUCAGCCACACUGGGACUGAGACACGGCCCAGACUCCUACGGGAGGCAGCAGUGGGGAAUUUUGGACAAUGGGGGAAACCCUGAUCCAGCCAUUCCGCGUGAGUGAAGAAGGCC
rnacentral:rRNA from 1 species